AUGACACCUCCAGUCCAGAGGUCGACGCCUCCAGUCCAGAGGUCGAUGCCUCCAGUUCAGAGGUCAACGCUUCCACCAGUCCAGAGGUCGACGCCUCUUCCAGUCCAGAGGUUGACGUCUCUUCCAGACCAGAGGUCGACGCCUCCUCCAGUCAAGAGGUCGACGCCUCCUCCAGUCCAGAGGUCGACGCCUCCUCCAGUCCAGAGGUCGAUGCCUCCUCCAGUCCAGAGGUUGACGCCUCCCCCAGUCCAGAGGUCGACGCCUCCUCCAGUCCAGAAGUCGAAGCCUCCUCCAGUCCAGUGGUCGAAGCCUCCUCCAGUCCAGAGGUCGAAGCCUCCUCCAGUCCAGAGGUUGACGCCUCCUCCAGUCCAGAAGUCGACGCCUCCUCCAGUCCAGAAGUCAACGCCUCAUCCAGUCCAGAGGUCAACGCCUCCUCCAGUCCAGAAGUCGACGCCUCCUCCAGUCCAGAAGUCGAAGCCUCCUCCAUUCCAGAAGUCAACGCAUCCACCAGUCCAGAAGUCGACGUCUCCUCCAGUCCAGAAGUCGACGGCGUCUCCUCCAGUUCAGAAGUCGACGACGUCUCCUCCAGUUCAGAAGUCGACGAUGUCUCCUCCAGUCCAGAAGUCAACUAGGCCACGUCCGGCAUCUCGACCUGCCGAGACUACCCCUGCAGCGGCUCUGCCUCCGGUCACCACCGGUCCUGCCCUCGCCAGGCGCGAGCCUCCCAGAGCCCGUCGCCGUCUCCUCCUCUGCCCCACAUGCAGGCCCCCCAGAGCCCGUCCCAUCUCCUCCUCUGGCCCAGACGGAGACCCCUCAGAGCCCGUCGCCAUCUCCUCCUCUGUCCCAGACGCAGGCUCCCGGAAUCUACUGGUCCCUGCCUCUUCUCCACCGGUCCCUCGGUUCCUCUCGGCCCUCCUUCCUGGUCCUCCUCCUCCCGCCCUGCUCUGUGUUCCUGUGGGCGUCUGGGAUCCGCCCUUUGAGGGGGCGGGGGUACUGUCACACCCUGUCCUGUCUCCCCAUUCUGUUCAGUCAUGUGUCCCUGUUAAUUGCUCCCACCUGCCUCUCGUUUUCCAAUCACCCAAGCUCCCANGGUCUGACUGA
rnacentral:lncRNA from 1 species